AAGGAUCCAAGGAAUAUGAGCCAAGAUCCAAAGCCUUUGAAGGUUUAUUAUAGAAGAAAUAUGAAGAAAGAAGAGUCUAGAAUGGGACAGCUUGAAGGGAAUAUUUUGAAGGUUUUACAGUUAGAGGAAUUAGCAAAGGAGGGCCACUUGUCAUUAAGAGAAGAAUCCAGCUUCUAAAUAAGGAACAAUGCAGCGGAAAAGGAGGAGGAAUUUCUUU
rnacentral:misc_RNA from 1 species